AGAGUUUGAUCCUGGCUCAGGAUGAACGCUGGCGGUCUGCUUAACACAUGCAAGUCGAACGGAGUACUUCGGUACUUAGUGGCGGACGGGUGAGUAACGCGUGAGGAUCUGCCCUCAGGAGGGGGACAACGACUGGAAACGGUCGCUAAUACCCCAUAUGCCGAGAGGUGAAAUGUUUUUUCGCCUGAGGAUGAGCUCGCGUCAGAUUAGCUAGUUGGUGGGGUAACGGCCUACCAAGGCGACGAUCUGUAGCUGGUCUGAGAGGAUGAUCAGCCACACUGGGACUGAGACACGGCCCAGACUCCUACGGGAGGCAGCAGUGGGGAAUUUUCCGCGAUGGGCGAAAGCCUGACGGAGCAAGACCGCGUGAGGGAUGACGGCCUAAUGGUUGUAAACCUCUUUUCUCUGGGAAGAUAAUGACGGUACCAGAGGAAUAAGCCUCGGCUAACUCCGUGCCAGCAGCCGCGGUAAUACGGAGGAGGCAAGCGUUAUCCGGAAUUAUUGGGCGUAAAGCGUCCGUAGGUGGUUAAUCAAGUCAGCUGUUAAAGAGCGGAGCUCAACUCCGUUAGAGCGGUUGAAACUGAUUGACUAGAGUUUGGUAGGGGUCGAGGGAAUUCCCAGUGUAGCGGUGAAAUGCGUAGAUAUUGGGAAUAACACCGGUGGCGAAAGCGCUCGACUGGGCCUGAACUGACACUGAGGGACGAAAGCUAGGGGAGCGAAAGGGAUUAGAUACCCCUGUAGUCCUAGCCGUAAACGAUUGAUACUAGGUGUUGCUCGUUAUCGACCCGAGCCGUGCCGAAGC
rnacentral:rRNA from 1 species